rnacentral:rRNA from 1 species
CUACGGGGGGCAGCAGUCGAGGAAAUUUUUCAAUGCUCGAAAGAGUGAACGAGUAAGCCAGAGUGUUUUCUUUAAGAAAACUUUUGUCUGUUGUAAAAAGACAGACGAAUAAGGACUGGGCAAGACCGGUGACCAGCCGCCGCGGUAAUCCCGGCGGUCCGAGUCGCAUCCACAUUUAUUGGGUCUAAAACAUCCGUAGCUUGUUUUGUAAGUCUCUUGUGGAAUCUCAAAUCUCAAGUUUGAGGCGUGCAAGAGAUACUACAUUACUAGAGACCGGAAGACGCAAAGAGUACGACGGAGGUAGCGGUAAAAUGUGUUAAUCUUUGUCGGACUAACAAUGGCGAAGGCACUUUGCGAGUACGGAUCUGACAGUGAGGGAUGAAGGCUAGGGGCGCAAAAGGGAUUAGAUACCCCUGUAGUC